GACGAACGCUGGCGGCGUGCUUAACACAUGCAAGUCGAACGGAAAGGCCCUGCUUUUGUGGGGUGCUCGAGUGGCGAACGGGUGAGUAACACGUGAGUAACCUGCCCUUGACUUUGGGAUAACUUCAGGAAACUGGGGCUAAUACCGGAUAGGAGCUCCUGCUGCAUGGUGGGGGUUGGAAAGUUUCGGCGGUUGGGGAUGGACUGGCGGCUUAUCAGCUUGUUGGUGGGGUAGUGGCUUACCAAGGCUUUGACGGGUAGCCGGCCUGAGAGGGUGACGGGCCACAUUGGGACUGAGAUACGGCCCAGACUCCUACGGGAGGCAGCAGUGGGGAAUAUUGCACAAUGGGCGGAAGCCUGAUGCAGCAACGCCGCGUGCGGGAUGACGGCCUUCGGGUUGUAAACCGCUUUCGCCUGUGACGAAGCGUGAGUGACGGUAAUGGGUAAAGAAGCACCGGCUAACUACGUG
rnacentral:rRNA from 1 species